GUUCCUCAAUGAAUAGAUAGAUGCUCUCAAUAUUUUAUACAUAAACCUAUAUAAGUCUCUCAAAUCUAUAGACAUUCGAGACUUGCUAAUAUACUAGAGAUCAACUACAAUUCAAUCUCUAUUAAACAACAACAUACAAUAUCUUAAUAAAGUCCAAUAUAAGUAGAAAUCUUGGAGAUAUGUCUUUAAUGUAGUCUAGAUCCAAUCCCUAUAUUUCAAGGGAUUCAAUUGUUUGAUCCAAUCCGAUCAAAUCUUCAAUGAUUUCUUGCUCAACAGGAUGAAUCUUCAAAUAUGGACCAACACACAUCCACAAAACCAUUUAAGUUAGGUCCAGUGAUUUGGUUGAAAAGUUUUCCAACUCCAAAUAAGACAAGUUAUGUUGUUUGUCAAAGUGCUUGACUUCAGUGAUCAGUUCCGCUACACUUGCCUCAAUAAUAAAACAUUUAUCAAGGUUGAUCAAGCCUUACACAUUUAUGACACAAAUCCAUCUUCACAAAGUAAGCUUUACUCCAUCAUGAUCUGCCCAAAUCUCAUCAAAUUGAUUGUCCUAAAUAUAAGGAUACAAAAGAUUAUAAAGUCACCCCUAUAUUCUUGGAUUGCAUAUUGCAAUAUACGUAGAUCACAUAAGAAUUCUUGAAAAGUAAUUUUACUUGAUUCAAUCUCUUGUCUAAUGGUAAACAUGAGAUUGAUUGCACAAAAUCCUUGAAAAGAGACAAUCAAAUCAUCAAAAUAUUUUAGUUAAACAUGCCAACAAAUAAAGCAAAUUGUGUGACUAACACAAUGUUAACCGAAGUGAGCACUUCCAUCAACCACUUUCAAAACUUGCCUCAAUAAUCUCCCCUUCGACAUUUUUAACUAAAAACCAUGUAGUAAAUUCUUACGGCAAUAAAUGCAACACGAGCAUCAGCAACAACAAGUUCAAACUCCCCCUCAAACUCAAACUUAUUCUCUCCCUUUUUCUGGACAAAAAUCCAAUAAAACUUCGGGCAAUUGCAAUUGAAGAAGCAUCUUCAUAAGCUGAAGUUUUAUCACACAAAGCAAUAACAUGUAGACAGUAUCAUGAACAAACAAAACAAAUAAUAACAAGCAUGGAAAAGAAAAACUCCCCUUAGUAAUACUAUCAACACACUCCCCUCAAUAAAUAUAAAUUUUUAAUGUAUACUCAAUAGUAACAUAUAUUAAAAAUGUUAUAAAUAAAUAUAUAUAUAUAUUCAACAAAAAUCUAGACGGUCUAUUGUAUAUUUAACAUUAGUACUUAGUAGAUGUUAAUGUAUCAAUACAUGCAUUAUAAUAUCAUGGAAAAUGUACUUGCAAAUAUUGAAGAAGGUAGAUGAAGAUUGCAGAAUAUUUAAAAGAUAAUAGCUAGAAGAAAAUGACAGUGUUCAUGGAAAGAUGCUGAAUAAACUUACUCUACUUGCUCUGGUGUGAAGGUAUAUAUACACGAAUUUCAGCCUCUCCCACCUUUGCCAUUAUUAUUCACUCAUACAUUGCAUUGUUCCAUCAUAUCCAAA
rnacentral:lncRNA from 1 species